CCACGCUGAUUAUUUGAGACAUUAAUGUUGGUUGUUUUACUCAUUUAGAUAUCAACGAAUGCGCACCUGCCCCAUGUAAGAACGGCGCCACGUGCAAUAAUCUUCAGAACGCGUACUCGUGCACAUGCUCACCGGGCUGGCAAGGCAACAACUGUGAACAGGAUAUCAACGAAUGCGAACCUGCCCCAUGUGAGAACGGCGCCACGUGCAAUAAUCUUCAGAACGCGUACUCGUGCACAUGCUCACCGGGCUGGCAAGGCAACAACUGUGAUCAGGAUAUUAACGAAUGCUCGCCCGCUCUGUGUAAGAACGGCGCCACGUGCAGCAACCUCCCGAAUGCGUACUCAUGCACGUGUGUACCUGGCUGGAAGGGAAAAAACUGUGAACAGGAUAUCGACGAAUGUGCCCCAAACCCUUGUAAGUACGGUGCGACGUGCAACAAUCUUAAGAACCGGUAUUCGUGCCAGUGUUCACCGGGCUGGAAGGGACAAAACUGUGAUCAGG